rnacentral:rRNA from 1 species
AAAGCGAAGGAGCGAUCUGGAGCGAAACUCAAAAAAGCAGUCUCAGUUCGGAUUGAAGGCUGAAAUUCGCCUUCAUGAAGCCGGAAUUGCUAGUAAUGGCAGGUCAGCAUACUGCCGUGAAUACGUUCCCGGGCCUUGUACACACCGCCCGUCACACCAUGAGAGUUGGGAAUACCCGAAGCCUGUGAGCUAACUUAACGAGGCAGCAGUCGAAGGUAGAAUCAAUGAUUGGGGUGAAGUCGUAACAAGGUAAC